rnacentral:tRNA from 1 species
UCUUCGUUAGUAUAGUGGUGAAUAUCCCCGCCUGUCACGCCAGAGACCGGGGUUCGAUUCCCCGACGGGGAG